rnacentral:rRNA from 1 species
CCUACGGGUGGCAGCAGUGAGGAAUAUUGGUCAAUGGACGAGAGUCUGAACCAGCCAAGUAGCGUGAAGGAUGACUGCCCUAUGGGUUGUAAACUUCUUUUAUAUGGGAAUAAAAUGUUCCACGUGUGGGAUUUUGUAUGUACCAUAUGAAUAAGGAUCGGCUAACUCCGUGCCAGCAGCCGCGGUAAUACGGAGGAUCCGAGCGUUAUUCGGAUUUAUUGGGUUUAAAGGGAGCGUAGGUGGAUUGUUAAGUCAGUUGUGAAAGUUUGCGGCUCAACCGUAAAAUUGCAGUUGAAACUGGCAGUCUUGAGUACGGGAGAGGUAGGCGGAAUUCGUGGUGUAGCGGUGAAAUGCUUAGAUAUCACGAAGAACUCCGAUUGCGAAGGCAGUUCACUGGACUGCAACUGACGCUGAGGCUCGAAAGUGUGGGUAUCAAACAGGAUUAGAUACCCGAGUAGUC